rnacentral:misc_RNA from 1 species
UACUCAGAAAAUCUCAAAGGCACCAUUGAAUGAGCAGGACAUUGCGAUCGUUCGCAUUGCGCCUGAGGCAAGUUUCAAAAACAAGGCCUAUGACGCUUUGAAAGAAGCCAUUCUCAAGAUGGACAUCUACGCCAGCCCCGAGCCCGUGAUGCUCGACGAGCGCGCGCUGUCGGAACAUCUGGGUGUCAGCCGUACGCCGAUCCGCGAAGCGAUCGCGAUGCUGGAG